rnacentral:rRNA from 1 species
CUCGCCAGGGGACUACAAGCAUAAGCUUAAAACCCAAAGGACUUGGCGGUGCUUUAGACCCACCUAGAGGAGCCUGUUCUAUAACCGAUAACCCCCGUUAAACCUCACCUUCUCUUGUUAUUUCCGCCUAUAUACCGCCGUCGUCAGCUUACCCUGUGAAGGUCAUUCAGUUAGCAAAAUUGAAUUUAUCCAAAACGCCAGGUCGAGGUGUAGCAUAUGAGAAGGAAAGAAAUGGGCUACAUUUUCUAACACAGAAAAUAACGGAAAUUACUAUGAAACAGUAAAUUAAAGGAGGAUUUAGCAGUAAGCAGGGAAUAGAGAGCCCC